rnacentral:rRNA from 1 species
CCUACGGGAGGCAGCAGUGGGGAAUAUUGCRCAAUGGGGGAAACCCUGAUGCAGCAACGCCGCGUGAAUGAUGAAGGCCUUCGGGUUGUAAAGUUCUGUCUUCUGGGACGAUAAUGACGGUACCAGAGGAGGAAGCCACGGCUAACUA